ACACAGGUAGGUGAGGAGAGAAUCCUAAGGCCAUCGGAAGAAUUGCUGUUAAGGAACUCGGCAAAUUGACCCCGUAACUUCGGGAGAAGGGGUGCCUACGAAAGUAGGCCGCAGAGAAUAGGCCCAAGCAACUGUUUAGCAAAAACACAGGUCUCUGCUAAAGCGAAAGCUGAUGUAUAGGGGCUGACGCCUGCCCGGUGCUGGAAGGUUAAGGGGAACACUUAGCGUAAGCGACGGUGUGAACUUAAGCCCCAGUAAACGGCGGCCGUAACUAUAACGGUCCUAAGGUAGCGAAAUUCCUUGUCGGGUAAGUUCCGACCCGCACGAAUGGCGUAAUGAUUUGGGCACUGUCUCAACAGCAAAUCCGGCGACAUUGUAGUGCAAGUGAAGAUGCUUGCUACCCGCGAUUGGACGGAAAGACCCCGUAGAGCUUUACUGUAGCUUAGCAUUGAAUCUCGGUAUUGUCUGUACAGGAUAGGUGGGAGACUUGGAAGCUUGGGCGUCAGCCUGAGUGGAGUCAUCCUUGGGAUACCACCCUGACAGUACUGGGGUUCUAACCGGAGGCCAUGAAUCUGGUCACGGGACAUUGUUAGGUGGGCAGUUUGACUGGGGCGGUCGCCUCCUAAAAAGUAACGGAGGCGCCCAAAAG
rnacentral:ncRNA from 1 species